UGGUCAGUGAACCUUGAUACUGUGUUGAAUUUGAUGGACUUCUUAAUCUUGAUUGUUAACUGGAAUCUCUGUAAGGGACUUAAUUAUCCAGUUAUAAUAGAUACUGAGAAGUUAAUUAUUAACUCAGAAGUAUGCUGUUUAACCAGAUGUCUUGUUAAUUAUGCUAACUCCACAUUGGCAUUUGCUUUGAUUUAUACACUCUAGGUUUGGUUUGCCUUUUCGGUUUCCAGUCCACACAGCUUUAUUGCAGCUGGGCACUCUGUCUUUCUAAGCAUCCAAAGGAACACACAAGGUCACCUUGGGAGGCUGCUGUGAACCACAGGACGAAUUCUGCCUCAGAGCAUCCCUGUAUACCCUGGUACUCAAAGCCAGGUGCUCCCUUCUAACUGUUAGGACGUUCUCUAAUGCAGCUAAUUGCUGCUUGAUUUAUGAGUAACUAUUCCUCCUAGUAGGAAGGGCUGUUUCUUUUCAUACCCUUAAGUGCAAUACAAAGGCCAAAUCUCCACCCAUUCUGAACAUAGCAUUCCUUCCAAUCUACCUUAUAAAAAUGUGAGGUUACGCUGGAGGCAGACCAGAAUACUGCCUCAGCCUACUUGAAGACACCUCCUAACUUGUUGUAAGGAUGAAGCUCCUGGCACUCUAUGGCUUUUUGUUUGUCUUACUUUUGUGCCUCAAUGCCUUUACUGCAGAAGGUCGGAAGGUUAAAAAAGUCUGCUGUUCAAAACUAGCCAAAGUCAAUAAAAAGGCAAAUAAAGGUGUGCCUUCCAAGACGGCUCUAAUGCAAAUAAGGAAAUACUGCAAGCCUUGUGCUCAGCCAGACCCUCUGCGGAUUCCUGGACCCCUUCCACAGUUAAAAUAAGACUGAGCAGGGUGAAGAAGAGCAUCUACCUGCCAGCACAUCUCCCAGUGCUUCACUUGGUUGAGGGCCUUCCUUUCACAGAUAGGGCCUGAAUGUAUGCUACUCUUAUUUUAGUUGGAAAGGGCUUCAGUCAAUAAUGCUUACUCAGUCCCCCAGGCUCCUUUAUCUUGUUAACAUUAACCUGGCAUCUAAAGAGACAGGUAAAGCUGUCUGGCUGCUACUGGAUUUUUUCAAUUGCGUGUUCCUCUGUACCAAACCGGGAUCAAGCUCCUCAGACAAGACAGUGGAGAGCUGGCUGUAUCACUUUGGAUUGCAUUUUUAGAUGGGAAAAGGCUGAAGUUACUGUUUCUAGUUAUCAGUAUAUAUAUAUAUAUAUAUAUAUAUAUAUAACCUCUUAUAUGAAUAACUUCUUGUAUGUAGACAAAUGGAUUUUCUUUGUAGCUAGGCACAUGAUGAUUUUUUUUCCUGCAACAGUUGCUCUCAGUGCUUAAAAUCCACUUGGAAGUGGAUUUCUAUCAAGUGAGAAUGAAUUUAUGGUUUAGAAAGGGCUGAGAAACUAGAUUCAAAUAGUUGGGAAGGACCAGAGGACCAGAUUCAAGUACAGUGGAAAGCUUUUUAAUGUUUGGCGAGGGUGAGGGGGAAACGACACCUGUUCUUUAACUUCCCAGAAGAAUAAUGUCAUCAGGUGGUUAUUAAAAAACAUACUGGAAAGGUGCUAAGGCUAGUCAGAUUUUAUUUUUUUUUUCCUCCUGAAGCCAGAAGGCAAUUGUUCUUUCAAGGCACUUGAGUUGUGUGAUCACCUCAAUAAACAAAACUCAUUGGAGUAUGAAAUUAAACAAAUGUUAAGAAUAAUACCAAAGGGCUGAAUAAAAGAGAAACAGAAAUGCUCCCUGCUAAUAUCAUUAGCAGUCACUGGGGUCUUUUCUCUGGUAUCUCCUGUCCUUUUUCUAGCUGUCUCCUGCAUAUGCUAUUUCUAUGCCCGGGCUGAGUCCUUAACCCAGAAUUAAUUGGAGGUUUAUGAAUUUGGCUUUCCUUUUAAUGAACAUGACAAGGUGUGGAAAGCUUUUUCUGCUCUUGGGCAAAUAUCACUUUGAACACAGUAAUUUUAUUCUCAAUGCUCAGAGUAAUGCUGUUUCCCUUAGGUAAUUUCCUGUACGAUAAAGAUGGUCUCAGUGCCCUUUAGUAAUCUGGGGGAGUUGAAUGGGGAUGGUCGUAUGCCUGUUGUAACCACCUCCAGGCAAAUGUGUUUCCCAUGAGUCAAAUUAAUGGGAACAUAUAUGUGGCUGUGCUUUCUCGUGGUCAGUGUUCUAUUGUACUGAACAAUUGAAGCAAUUUCUAGGUUUCCUUUGUGCUUGUUAUUACUUUAUUUUCUUACUGCUCUUGUGAUUAGAUAGAUCUGACCCUCAACUUCCUAGUUUUGAGUUGACCAUGCAAAGCAUUUUCAUAUCAAGCAUAAAAAGGAUCCUCCAGUCCUCACAAGAUCUGAGCCAAGAGGCUGGUGAAUGAGCUGUUUGAUAAUUCUGCUGCUGAUCGCUGGGCAAACAUUUAUUUUUGUCUUUUGUAGCUCACAGAAUGUAUCUCAGGAAUAUGAACGAUGAGUAGAUGUGAAAAGUAUUUUGGAUAUUAAAAGUUUGCAUCAGGAAUUUAUACAGAGCUGUAAACACAUGGCCAUAUCUUCUGAAGCAUUACUAAGAGGUGUGAGGAUUCUCUUCUCUAACGUGAGCUUAAGCCCAUUUGUUUUAUAUUCAAAAAAUGCUGUAAGAUUAUCUUGGCCCCAUACCCUUCAAACAGUGUGCUCCACACACUAAUCCUCCUUCAGGCAAAACGUUCUCUCUGACAGCAAAAGCAUAAAGUACCAAAGACCAUCAACACUGUUACAGAAAUACUGUGUCUUUGGAGGGAUGCAGGGACAUCAUCCUAGGUACUUGAAUAUUUUUAUUCACCUAGUUUCUCAAACUAGCCUCAAGGUAAGGUUGAGGGCUAUUCAGAUUUAAAAAGUAAGUUACUUCUGUGAGGUCCUAGUCCUGACUGAACUAAACUAAACUAAAGCAGGAUUCCUCAAGCUAUUUCACCACUCAUUGUGACUGUUGACCAAACAGGCUCUUUGCCUGGCCUACAAGUAUCAGGAGGUCAUGCAUCAGCCUCUUGCAAGUGCUUCCUCACCAAAGUUGGACUUCUAUUUCCUGAACCAUUUUCCCUGUGUGGUAGAAGAGAGCUACCAUCUGGUCAUGGCUUUGUUUACAGGCACCUGUUCUUCAUUUUCUUUUCUUUCACUACAAUGUAUAUUUGUUUGGCAUUACCAGAGGAGAAACAUAUUACUCAGUGGCUUUUCAAAGUACACAGGCUAUAUGCUUACAUCAAGUAGUAAACUCAGCUUGUCCAAGCUGACAAAUGUAUUUGUCUGUAUCUUGUGGUUUUCUGUGUUUGUUUGGCUGUCAAGCAUGAAAAUUGCCCAGCCUUCAACUUCCAAUAAAGAUAUUUUGACAUAUCUCUGUGCCUGCCAGAAUAGAUGUUGGAUCCUUGUCUGACCUUGUCAACUAAGUGAGCCAGGUGGCCCCUCGCUUUGUUUUGAGAUUAAUACCCUCAGCUGACACCAGAUCAGUCUGUCUUGUAUAGUACUGUGACUGUGAAUUGUCAGGGCACAGGAAAAAUGAUCACCCCUGACAGGGGGAAUGUGGGGGCGCAGGCAGUUUGUGGGUUUUUCCUUCAAAGUUCAUAUUAGAAGGCAUAAUUUGUACAAAUAACAUAAAAUUUUAUGACCCCCAAAAGUGUAAUGAGGCUAUUGCUCUUGGCUCUUCAGCCCUCUAGACUGUCUGGCCCACAACUGAUGCCAGGGUCUGGGUGUAGCUGAAUUCAGGAUUUUAGCUCUGGAAAAUUGCUGUUAAGCUGAAGUACGGGCCACUCACAACUUUUUGUGAUUGCAUCUACUAAGGAAAACCAAAAUCCUGUAUGGACAGUGUCACUGCAGAUAAUAAAGUCAACUGACACAUGAAAACAGAGGGAUAAACUUUUGCUCUUUACAUACUCUUAUGAAGAAAUUCUUGCUAGAGCUGAGUGGAAGACUCCCGGUGAUUUAAGUGUUCACUGAAUCAAGUCUGAAGACCUGUUGCUUGGUUCAGUUUUGUCCAGCAACUGCAACCUCCUAGGCAGAUUUAGCAGUGUUGUCAGGUGGUGAAUACAGAUUGGAUUGUACCAACUUCAGACUGAAGUUUGCUUAAAGAAGAGUUGGGCUUAAGUUUAGCCAUGACUUUCUUCUUCUUCUCAGUUAAGGUGAGAGGAAGACCUUCUUACAUGUCAGUCUUUUUUUUGGCAUCAAAUGAGCUUUUCCUCAUUAGAUCUGAGCAGUUGUCUCUGUCACUGCUAACUUCUCUGCAGGACUCAUCGAGCAUUUAUUUGUUUAAAUGCUGGUGGAGAACAAAGAACCCUACAUUAAAUGACAUGCACAAGAGUGUUGAUUCCAAUCCAUGUGUGUCUUUGGUUCCCAGUAGCCAUUUAGCAUGAUAAGGCUUAGGGCGGGCAUUGGAUGGUUGUCUAAGUUGCUUUCAAGUUCAUAACAGUCAUCAUACUUUCCUUUAAUUUUAUAGCAGGCCAUGGAGAAAUUCACCAAAAUUGUUCUGUUCUGAGUCUCUGCUAGAAAGAGUGUCUGGGUGUGGAUUUGUCUAUGCCAUCAUUCA